rnacentral:rRNA from 1 species
UGAGGAAUAUUGGUCAAUGGGCGCAAGCCUGAACCAGCCAUGCCGCGUGCAGGGUGACGGUCCUAUGGAUUGUAAACUGCUUUUGUACGGGAAGAAACACUCCUACGUGUAGGAGCUUGACGGUACCGUAAGAAUAAGGAUCGGCUAACUCCGUGCCAGCAGCCGCGGUAAUACGGAGGAUCCAAGCGUUAUCCGGAAUCAUUGGGUUUAAAGGGUCCGUAGGCGGUUUAAUAAGUCAGUGGUGAAAGCCCAUCGCUUAACGAUGGAACGGCCAUUGAUACUGUUAGACUUGAAUUAGUGGGAAGUAACUAGAAUAUGUAGUGUAGCGGUGAAAUGCUUAGAUAUUACAUGGAAUACCGAUUGCGAAGGCAGGUUACUAUCACUAUAUUGACGCUGAUGGACGAAAGCGUGGGGAGCGAACAGGAUUAGAUACCCUGGUAGUCCACGCCGUAAACGAUGGAUACUAGCUGUUCGGAGCAAUCUGAGUGGCUAA